CCUGUGCCAGGUUUUAGAGCUUUAGGGAAAGCCAAAGCUUCAAAACAUGAGGAUUUGAGGACUGUGCAAGGAGGAGACUCACCUCUUCUUCUGGACGCCCAUUUGAAUAGCUGAUGAUGGUGACAUGGAAAGCCUUCAAAGAGGUGGUCCUUCAAGGGUCCUGGUGGCAUCUCCCAUACGUAAAUGCCUGCUUUCCAACUUUGCAGUGAGGGAAUGCAGAAGAAAGAGAUGCCAGCGCUCUUUGGAAAUGUGGCCACACUAAAUCAUUGGCUUUUUACCUCUCAGGAGAAGAAUGGGGAGUGAAUGCAACAUGGGAAGAAGGGAAGGCUCUGAUCCAUGUGAGCCAAGAGUGAGCCUCUCCUUGAGUCACAGCAGGCAUUGGCAGCCUGUUAUGUUGAUCCACCACUUUACUUUUGCCAGAGGCUGGAUCUGUGCACUUGAAGACUAGGCGAAAGGAGAGGCUGCCUUGGAAUGUGCAGCAGGGCAAGGAUUAAAAACCCUUGUGGGAGAAAGCCAUGCCUGCCUCUUUAGACUUCAUCGCUACAGCCUGCAGUCUGUUAACAAUCAUGUUGUUUUUAGCAGAUAGAAAUACCAUAUAUACUCAAAUAUAAGCCAAGCCUAUCCUAGGGUUUGCUCUGAAAGAUUGGUUCAGAAGAAGGGUUCCUUUACCUCCUUCUGCAAGUUACAUCUAAUCUAAAUCUAAAGCCAUAAUAAAAGUAAAAACCCAUGUGUGUAUGUGGCAUAGGUGUACUGCUCACACAGACAGCCUCUGACCUCCACAAACAGGCUACACUUACCACUUUGGAGAACCCAGCAAGUCACUCCUUUGCACUAACAUCACGAUUACAGCGAGCGCCAUGAACAUGUAGGCCAAACCCUGCCAAUGUCCUUCCCAAACACUAUGGCCCACCACCCAAGGAAUGCUUUCAUUUGGAGACCAUUUCAUCCUAGAUUUUGCUUUUUCUUCCACCACAGGCAGGCAUCCCAGGGUUCUCCAUUUCUGUGGAAUUUGCAUGGCCCUGCCUACUGCCCUUUUCUUUCAAAUCUGCCUGCAUAACAAACAGAG